CAUAAUCUGCAGCAUCACUCCCUCUUUCCAGAAGCACCAUAAGCCAGCCUGAGCUGCAGAUGAAGCCUGACAGGAAGCAGAGGUUCCCUGGGCAAGGGCAGGAGCCCGGCAGCAGAGCAGCAGCUUUGCAUGCUGAAGGUCCCAGGCUCAAUCUCCGGCAUCUCCAGCGGUUGGAAGACAGUUGAAUGUCUCCUUAAUCACAGAGGGUGAGGAAAGCUUUGCUUCUGCAGAUAAGGAACCAGGACCCUUUGGGAUCUCUUCAAAAUCUGCCUGUGGACGUGCAAGAUGGGGAGGCUGUGCGCCUGACAGACAGCGGACACAAGCAGAUAUCCAGGAGCUGUGUUUUUGAGAGGCUCUCCACGAAGAUCUUAAGCAGAGGUUGUUCACAUCACCAUCUACCUGAGACCCUUUUGAAAACACACACCUGAGAAUAGCAGGGACUGAACCCGGGCUCUUUGGCAAGGACUGGAAAGCUUAUGAUCACUCAUAGUGCUAAGAUCCCUUUCCCAAGCAGACUACAGUGGUACCUCGGGUUACAUACGCUUCAGGUUACAGUCUCCGCUAACCCAGAAAUAGUACCUCAAGUUAAGAAC